GAGCUGUGCUGUGGACUUGGGCUGUGGACUUGGAGGAUAAAGCAGCUAGGCAAGCAGGAGCAGCCCCUCCCUCACCUCAGCAAGUCUGCCUGUGAGAGCUGAUCUGCAGGAGAGCAAAGGGCUCCUGCCCAGGUGGCUUCUUCCCAGGGACAAGUUGGUUCAGUGGAAUCAGUGGGGCUACUGUCAGUCAUGCUGGUGCCUCUGCUCCAGGACAAGUCACAUGCAAAGAUCUCCCCAGGGGCAUUGUGAGGCCUCAGGAAAGGCUUGAAAAGUUCCUAAAAGCCAGAUAUGCAUGGAAUUGUUGUUAAGUCCCAGUGCUGGGGUGAUCUUUGUUAUGGGGAGAGCCAAGAUGUCCCCAGACAACACCACACACACACACACACACACAUACACACACACACACACACACGGCACAAUCACUAACUGUCUUCUACAUGUGUUUUCUUCCAAGGAGUAAGAAAUGCUACAAGGACAGUGAGAGUCAGGUAAGCCCGAGACUCGGUGCUGUGGCUGGAGAAGGUGGGGCUAACAGAACUAAUGUCUCCCCUUCCGUUUCCUAGGAAGGAUUUUUCUGUCUAAGGUGGCCACAGUGGCUCACAGAUUUAUUCAAGCAUGACAUACGAAAGAAGAGCAUGACUGAGGGACUGCAUGCCAAGAGGUCCUCUGCACGGCAGGAAAUUCCCCUUCAGGAUGUGUCAUGGGACGUCAAGGAAGAAGGGAUGCCACCGGUUCCAAAACUGUCAGUCACUGAAGCAGAAGAGAGUGAAGGAGCUGAUGACACUGAAGGCACAGAAUGAUCUGCUAUCAUUGAUUAAUAAACUUUUUUGGGUCUCUGAGCCAUCCAGCUUUGGGUUCCUGGCCAUACAAAAUAUACAUUUGAUGGGUAGAGAGACGGUUCAGUGUCUAAAAGCACUUGCUGCUCUUUCAAAGAACCUGGAUUUGAUUCCCAAUCCCCACACGGUGACUCAGUCUUACAACU